GUCUUGUAAUUGGAAUGAUGGCGACUUAAACCCUCGCCAGAGUAACAAUUGGAGGGCAGUCUGGUGCCAGCAGCCGCGGUAAUUCCAGCUCCAAUAGCGUAUAUUAAACUUGUUGCAGUUAAAAAGCUCGUAGUUGAAUUUCUGCGUUGCGUUGUUCUUGCUUUUUGCUUGAUUUUCGCUUCGCUUUUUGUUUUUACUUUGAGAAAAUUAGAGUGUUUAUCGCAGACUUUUGUCUUGAAUACUUCAGCAUGGAAUAACAUAGUAGGACCUUGGUUCUAUUUUGUUGGUUUGGGACCUUGGUAAUGGUUAAUAGGAACGGUUGGGGGCAUUCGUAUUUAACUGUCAGAGGUGAAAUUCUUAGAUUUGUUAAAGACGAACUACUGCGAAAGCAUUUGCCAAGGACGUUUUCAUUAAUCAAGAACGAAAGUUAGGGGAUCGAAGACGAUCAGAUACCGUCGUAGUCCUAACCAUAAACUA
rnacentral:rRNA from 1 species